CACUGUAGGUGAUGGUGAGAGUGGGCA
rnacentral:miRNA from 3 species